CCUACGGGUGGCAGCAGUGGGGAAUAUUGCGCAAUGGGCGAAAGCCUGACGCAGCGACGCCGCGUGAGGGAUGAAGGUCUUCGGAUCGUAAACCUCUGUCAGCAGGGAAGAACGGUCACUGUGCUAAUCAGCAGUGAAUUGACGGUACCUGCAAAGGAAGCACCGGCUAACUCCGUGCCAGCAGCCGCGGUAAUACGGAGGGUGCGAGCGUUAAUCGGAAUUACUGGGCGUAAAGCGCUCGUAGGCGGUAUGUCAAGUCAAGGGUGAAAUCCCCGGGCUCAACGUGGGAACUGCCUUUGAAACUGUCGAACUGGAGUGUGUGAGAGGAUAGUGGAAUUCCAGGUGUAGGGGUGAAAUGCGUAGAUAUCUGGAGGAACAUCAGUGGCGAAGGCGACUAUCUGGCACAUAACUGACGCUGAGGAGCGAAAGCGUGGGUAGCAAACAGGAUUAGAUACCCCAGUAGUC
rnacentral:rRNA from 1 species